UGGGUGACCCCAAACUUUUAAACGGUAGUGUACAUAAACAUACACUGCCAUGGCCUUCUGUCCCGGCAAUGAAGUCCUAACCAAUGAGUGAGCAGCUCUAAACUCUUCUCAGCCUGGAGACAACAAACAAAACAAUCUCAUUGGAUAACUCGAUUUUAAUGUUUUCAGGACAGUAACGCUUUCAUUUCUGAAGCAAAUUUGAUAGAAAAUGAGGCCAAAUUAGAAUUAGAAGAGAAUAAUUAUAAUGAAAUUAUAAAAGAAUGAAAGCAAUUAAAGAAUGAAAAAAAUUAAAUAUAACAUUUGAAUGCUGAUAUGCUUGGGCCUUCUCUGAACACCUAGAAGGCCCUGACAGUUCCCCGGUGGUGAAGUAUAUUACAUGUCUAAAAUCCAUGUUUAUAUUUUAUUCGAUUAUUAACAUCUGAAGAUCCUGUGACUUUUUUUGGAGGCAGCAGCAAUGGCUGACAAACAACAUCCCAGCUAGCAACCCAACUAAUCCCAGACUAAUCAUGCUAAUCAUAAAUAACGCGAUAAUUCCCAGAGAGGGCUUAUUUAAAAAUGAAAAUGAUUCCAGCAAACAUUCCCAACAAACAAAUCAGACCUAGCAGAUACUGCAGAGUUCUGGAGGUUAUGAGAGGCCCCUCUUAGGUUGUACAGAGGAAAGCUUUGUCUUUUCCAGUUUCUAAUAGAUGAGGGGCCUCAAACGCUGAUAGCCAUCAGUGCCUUUACGCUGCUGCAGUUUAUGUCAGGCCUUGUGUAAGUGUGUCAGCCUCACCGACUUGAAAUUUGGACCUGGGACAAAAUUAACAGUUCGAGGUGAGUAAGUUGCUUUAAAAAAAAACCUAAAAGGAUUAUCAUUGGGUUCUUCAUUGUUCUCUUUUAUUCCAUUACUAAAAGCAUUUACCUCGGCAUAGUCAUAAUUAUAGUGCACGAAGUCAGUUUGAUUGGCUAUUCAAUAAUCUCAACUAUGUUUUGUGUUCAUUUUAUAGCUUCAUGGAAUAACAUUGAAUUUUCAUGACUUCCUCAAUAACAUUCUCUCACAUAAAUCUAAAUGAUAUUUCACUUAUACAACUCGGGAAACAUGCCACACAGCUUUUAUAACUCUCUUGGAAAACUAGUUUUCAGCGAUGCAGUUACAAUCCACUGCUAAACGUCAGUUACUGUACUAUAUAGUUUGCAAAAUACACCUUUAUACUGUUUACAAUCAUAUCAAGUUUGCAGUGACAGAAUUAUUUGGUGAUUUAAUGGUAAUUUUAUUAAUGAGAUAGCAAAACCCCAAUAAAGCUUAUUUCUGCAAGUUUAGUUUCUGUCAUGAGUUAAAUCAACGUGUACUGGUUAUGCAAAACUGGAAUUUGGAUCAGGGACCAAACUAACAGUCUUGGAUCCCAACAUGAACAUAUCUGAGCCAGAAAUAAAGUUGAUGCCACCUUCUCCGGUAGAGCUCUGCGAAGCCCAGAAAAAAAAAAAAGGCUUUGUAACUUUGGUGUGCUUAGUGACAGAUUUUUAUCCAGAUCACAUUAGCAUUGUUUGGAAAGUGAAUGGGGAAAAUAGAACGCAUCGUGUUGCGACAGACCAUGCAGCCCUACAAGAUCCAGACACAAGGCUCUACAGCAUGUCCAGCAGACUGAGAGUCAAUGAAACUGAGUGGACCAACAUCAAAAACAAAUUCAAGUGCAGCGUUGCUUUCUACAAGGAAGACGAGUACGUGGUGCUUGAAGACACCAUCACAUUUUCACCAGUCAAAAUACCAGUACGAGUGUAUCUCACAAUACAACUUGGUUACUGGACGGUUAUUAUCAAGAGUCUGCUGUAUGCUGGGUUUGUCAGCUUUUUCAUAUGGAAAUGCAAGGCUACAAAAGAGAAGACUCUGAUGACAGAAAAUGGAGACAUUAUGAUCAGCUAAAUAAUAUUCAACCAAUAUGCUUAUAAAUAAAACUGUCAAGCACUGUCACAAAUUACAGAAUUAUUCACUAUUGUAUAUGAUUAAAAUUACAUACCGCUUUAAUUGAUGUGACUUUAACGCAUUAAUGCAAUUGUUAUAGCUCAGGAUAAAAGUUAUAGUGCAUGCUAAUAUGUUCUGUAUUGCUGUACAACUAUACUAUGUAACUAUGUUUGUUUUAUAUUUCUUACCAUACAAUAUAAUUUUCUUUUUGCUGACAUCAUUUAGCAGAUUAGUUAGUAUACAACAAACCACGAACCUAAACAUACAUAUGCCUGAAGUAACAUUAACAAAGCAAUUAAUAAUUUGUUCUUUUAAAUUAACCAGAUAAGCCAAAUAAUCAAGAACUGAAUUAACUAAUGUUCAUAAAUUCAAUAUGUAUUCAUAUAUGAUGCAUUCAGGUGGCAUGGUGGUGUAGUGGUUAGCACUGUCACCUCACAGCAAGAAGGUCCUGGGUUCGAGCCCAGCGGCCGAUGGGGGCCGUUCUGUGUGGAGUUUGCAUGUUCUCCCCGUGUCUGUGUGGGUUUCCUCCAGGUGCUCCAGUUUCCCCCAAAGACAUGCAGGUUAGGCUAAUUGGUGGCUCUAAAUUGACCAUAGGUGUGAAUGUGAGUGUGAAUUCACACCUAGUUUGUCUCUAUGUGUCAGCCCUGCGAUGACCUGGCAACUUGUCCAGGGUGUACCCCGCCUCUCGCCCAUAGUCAGCUGGGAUAGGCUCCAGCUUGCCCGCAACCCUGCACAGGAUAAGUGGUUAGAGAUAAUGGAUGGAUGGAUGGAUGGAUGGAUGGAUGGAUGGAUAUUAUGCAUUCAAAUUAAAACUAAGUCCACAAUAUUGAAUAUGAACACCUUAUUAAAUGUUUGCAGUUGAUAAUUGACUUAAAAGGUAAAAGUUCAGAACUGAGGCUCCAAUGUUUCAGGAUUUCAUAGUCAUAGCUACUCACUCCCUGUGUCCGAAAUCAUUCACUACUCACUAUAUAGUGGACUAUAUAAAUAAGAAUUUCAUAACCCAAUAAUAAACCGCUGUGUCUGUUGUUGUGUAUAUGACAAAUAAACAUCUUGAAUCUUGAA